rnacentral:tRNA from 1 species
ACAGUGGUGGUUCAGUGGUAGAAUUCUUGUCUUCCUUGCAGGAGACCAGGGUUCAAUUCCCAGCCCAUGUA